UACAGAGGGUGCGAGCGUUGUUCGGAAUUAUUGGGCGUAAAGGGCGCGUAGGCGGCGCGGUAUGUCACCUGUGAAAUCUCCUGGCUCAACUGGGAGCUUGCAGGCGAAACUGCCGUGCUGGAGUGUGGGAGAGGUGCGUGGAAUUCUCGGUGGAGCGGUGAAAUGCAUAGAUAUCGGGAAGAACACCAACGGCGAAAGCACUCCGCUGGGCCGAAAACUGACACUGACAGACGAGAGCUAGGGGAGCGAAUGGG
rnacentral:rRNA from 1 species